UUGGAUUCUAUCAUAGAGACUCACCUAGAAACAAGCCUGCAGUAGAAUCAGAAGACUCAUCAGCUGUUCUCUGUUUUUUUUCCUAGCACCAAGGACAACAACGACAUCGGCAGCAACAACAACAAGGGCAACGUCAGCAGCAACAACGGCGACAACAACAAAAAGGGCAGUGUCAACAGCAAAUUCAGCAGCAACUACAGCAUCAGCUGCAACAACAAGAUCAAUGUCAACAACAGUAUCAGCAGCAACAAGAAGGGCAAUGUCAGCAGCAACAGCAACAGAGGCAGCAGCAACAACAAGGGCAUCGUCAUGGCAACAUCAACAGCGGCAACUGUUGUUGUUGUUGCUGCUGACGUUGUCCUUGUCGUUGCUGCUGCUAUCACUUUUGAUGUUGCUGCUGACAUUGCCCUUGUAGUUGUUGCUGCUGAUGCUGUUGCCGCUGUUGAUGUUGCUGCAGACUUUGCCUUUGUUGCUGAAUCAGAAGACUCACCACUUGUUCUCUAUUUUUUACUAGCAUCAAGGACAGCAACCACAUCAGCAGCCAGAACAACAAGGGCAACGUCAACAGCGACAUCAGCAGCAACUACAGCAUCAGCAGCAACAAGAAGGACAACGUCAACAUCAACAGGGGCAACUGUUGUUGCCCUGAAUUAUGGAAGCUGUCACCUUCAAAACACAUACAUCACCCGCCUCACCAGAAAAGCUACCUGGAUUGUGAGAGACGCUAGCCAUCCCGCACAUAGUCUGUUCAGCGUCCUGCCUUCUGGGAGAAGGUAUAGGAGCCUCCGUGCCCGCUCCACCAGACUCACCAACAGCUUCAUCCACCAAGCUGUCAGGAAGCUGAACUCUCUCCCCUCUGUCACCUCAGUCACAUCCACCAGCUGAACCCCCCCCCCCCCCUCCCCCCCCACCAAAAUAGCAACAAGACUGAAAAUGCUGUUAUUUAUUACUGUUUUACUGACUGCUCUUUGUACUAUCACUCUUGCACUACUACUGUAUAUACAGAAUUUUUUUAUGCUGCCAAGACCGUUUUGCCUUUGCACUAUCAUAACAAACUAUAUAGGAACUCAUGCUGCUGCUCCCACCUACACACUGUAUUUAUAUAUUAGUAUAAGUUUUAGUAUUUGGUAUUAGUAAAUGUUUUAUCUGUUGUAAAAAUUGUAUGUAUACCUUUAGUAUAGGAAUGUCUUUU
rnacentral:lncRNA from 1 species